rnacentral:rRNA from 1 species
AUGGCGGACGCGCUGAUCGGGCCGCUGGUGGGGAGGCUCCAGGAGCUGGCGCUGAGCCAGGCGCGGGCGCUGGUGGCGGUGAACAAGGACAUCCGGAGGCUCCGCGACAAGCUCAUGUUCCUGCAGGCCUUCCUCCGGGAGGCUGACGCCAAGCGCCACCUCUUCUCCGACGAGAUCACCAGGGUGUGGCUGCAGCAGACGCGCGACGCCGUCUUCGACGCCGAGGACGCGGUCGACCACUACUACCUCCAGGUCGACAUGUCAAGGUAUCCAUGGUGGGCUCGUCCAAGUAUGAGAUAUGUUGCAACCUUUACAACACAAGUAAGCAUGCGACACAAGCUAUCUGCAAAAGUAAAGGAUAUCAACUCGAGGCUCGAGGACAUCAUUGAAAACAAAGACAGAUACAAAAUGGAGCUCAAUAACACGAAGUCGGAAUUAACAUGGAAAGCUUCUACAUCAAUAUCCUAUGCCCAUAGAAAUAUGGAUGAUUUACUGCCACCACAUGUGCCAAUACACGAAGGUUACCAAAAGCAACUGGAGAAUGUUCUUCUUACUCCCAUUGAUCAUGAGAAACUACAGAGUCAACAUCACCAUCCGGUCGUGAUCUCAGUGUUUGGAAAAAGCGGUGUUGGCAAGACAACUCUCGUGAGAGAAGUAUAUGAUAAAAUAGCUAAGAAGAAAAUUUUCCCUGUUCAUGCUAUGGAGAGUUUUGCACCCUAUAUGACGGCUAGCAAUAUCAUGUGGCAAAUCGUUCAAAAGCUGGCAAAGGAUGAUGAGAAUUGCACUAGAAGUGAUGUCGACAAAAUUUUUAAAGAUCAACUAAGAGGAAAAAAAUACUUGCUAGUGAUAGAUGGUGAAGUUAGCAGCACUGAGUGGAAGAACAUUCUGCAUAACCUCAAAGUUGGUGCUGAAGGCAGUAGAAUACUACAUAUCACACAACAUAAACCAGAAGAGCCACCUGUCAGCUAUCAUCAUGAAAUCAUCAAGUUAGAAUCUCUUGGACAGAAGACUGCUAUAGAACUGUUCCAUAAGAGGCUACUCCAUAUUGAAGUACAAGAUGAAAAAUUGCAUGAGCACCACCAAGAAAUCCACAAUAUCACCGAAGGGUUGCCACUUGGUAUUGUUCUUUUAUCAGGUCUUGUACAAACAAAGGAAUUUCCUAGUGAGUGGACCAAUGUAUUUGACUAUCUUAAGUCCAGCCAAUCAAAGCGACUACACAGGAUACUAUCUUUGUGCUUUGAUGAUCUUCCACAUGAGCUGAAAUGUUGCUUCCUCUACUUUGUUGCAUUGCCGGCCAACAUCAAGAUUGAGUCCCAUAGAUUGGUGUGCAUGUGGAUGGCAGAGGGAUUCCUAAGACCAAGAGCGGGGAAGACAAUGGAGAAGGUGGGAUACAUCUACUUGAAUGAGUUGAUUGCAAGAAAUCUAGUUAAGCCUGUGCAUAUGGAUGAGGAAGAUACAUCUAGUGCUGGGAGUAUCUUUGUCACCAUCCAGAACAAAGUCCAUGAAUUUUUGCAGUUUGAAGCACAAGAGGCAAGUUUUGUGGAAGUCCACAGCGGUGAUGACAUCCCCACAUUGACAAGUGCUCGUCGCCUCUCUCUACAGAAUUCCACAGAUAAAUAUGCUGUCCUAGCCAGUUCUUUGCCGAAGCUACGAUCCAUCUUCUCACAUUUUGAACAAGAUGCCAAAGAUCCCAAAGAGAAUCAAACUUAUUUAUGUUGCUCGCCUCAAAUUAGGGAAAUCUCUAAGUGGAAGAGGAACAAAGACAUCAAAUCUCAUAUACAAGGAUUAUUGCAUAGAUCUGAGUUCCUUCGUGUCAUCAAUCUACAGGGCAUUGAGAUUGGUAAGAGGUUGCCAGAUGAAAUAGGAAAUGUUGUGCAUGUGCAUUACCUUGGAAUUACAUCUUGUUCAUUAGAGGAAAUCCCACGAUCCAUUGGAAGGCUCACUAGUCUUCAAACACUAGAUGUGAGGGAAACUAAAGUUCGGGAGCUCCCAUUGGCCUUCUGGAUGAUUAAGACACUAAGGCAUGUUUUUGGUAGUUUCCUGAAAUUUCCUAAGAAAAUUGGCAGGUUGAAGCACCUACAGACACUUGACUCCAUACAAAUUGAUACAUUGGAGGAAGAAUUGGUUGGGACAUUAGGUGAGAUGAUCCAUCUUGAGUACUUAAGAGUUGGGUAUUCUCCAGAAGUCAAUGUGGUGUCUCUCUCAAAUGCUCUAAAUAGGCUUGAGAACCUUAGGACUCUGAUCAUAAAAGGUGAAAAUAUUCCAUCAAGUGUGUUCACUAGCUACACCCAUCGCCGCCUCAAGUUCAUAGUGCUAGAAGGAAAGCUGGAUUUGCCAUCUAAGUUGGAUGGUGUCUUUUUCCUUCCUAAUCUCGUUACUCUUUCACUGGUGAAAACAAGUAUAUCUCAAGAAUUCAUUGACAAGUUGGCUGAGCUGCCCUUUCUUGCCACCCUUUCCUUGUAUUCCAACUCCUGCAAGGAUGACCAUCUUGUCUUCUCUGCUGGUGGAUUUCGUUGCCUGAAGAAACUCAUGAUGGAUGUGGAAGAACUGAAGAGAGUCGAGGCAAACAAUGCGCUUCCAAAACUCAAAGAGUUGGAUAUUCACUCCCACUAUGGUGAAUAUUAUUGUCUCUUUAUUAAGGAAAACACAGAUAAUAAGAAGAAUUUUAUGGUUGAUCUCAAAAAGGAAAUUGUUGAAAGGAAAACGUCGAUCAUAAGAAGACUAUUUGGUUGA